AGUCCUGCUGGGCUGAUGGCUGCCUGUGGAAGUGACUCAGCUCCUGCCCGACACAGGGCCUCCAGGAAAAGGACAGGAGCUCACUCAGCCAUGGACAGGGAUGCAUCUGGAGCAGGAACAAGGAUGCUGACGACAUCUGUGUCUGCCCUCCACUCUUAGCAGACUGGCUGAUACUCUGCUGAAUACAGAGUGCCUUGGCGAGCCUCUGAGGAUGCUGUAAUCCAAUCAAAGUCCAGGGUGGCUUUCGAGGAGAAGGAUGUGAAAGGGCAGGGCUUCCUUUGCGGGCGAAAUGGAGAGAAGGGAGAAGAUCCAGAGAAGAGCGAGUGAGAGAAGUGGUCAUCAUGAUCGGCUCGGUGCUCUUCAGUGUCCUCCAGGGUCAACACCCUCCUGGGUAGACCUCUCACCACCCAUUUUUGUGGGGUGGGGGGGCAAGAGGCUUGGGGCCAGGUCAUUAAAAGUCAGAUGUCACAGAGCUGUUUUCAUAGAGGCAGGCAGGACCCAAUGCUGCCUCAUUCACAUUCACAGGCUGGAGUCAUAAUAGAUGCUGGCCACCUUCUCCUCUGGAGGGCAGGUAACACCACUGGUCAGCCCAGGGGUGGGGCACAGGAUGAGGUCUCACAUGUGGCUGCAUCAGGAUCAAUGAGCUUCCCAAAGAGAAAACCUUGGUUACAGGAGGCCUCUGGGAGCCAGGGAAGGCUCCCAGGCCCCUAGCCUUAGGUAGGGUCCCAAGAGGAUUGGUGGGAGUGUGCAUGGCUGGAAGUGUGACUUGGAGCCCUGGCCCACCAGGUGAAUCAGCUGCAGAAGGGACACACCACAGGGGAGGAGAAACUGACUUUCACUUCUGCCCAGGUGAUGGGCAGGCUCGGGAGUGGGGAAGAGGCUUCAGAUCAAAGUGACUUUGCUGCUCCUCCCAUUAAGAGGCAGAACCUAUUUCCUCAGUCCUUGCAUCUGUGACUCAGUUUGAUCAACUGAAGAAAGAAGUGACAUUGUGCAACUUCAGAGCCAGACCUCAAGAGACCUUGUAGCUUCUCUUCUGCUUGUUGGAACACAACAAUGUGGGAAGCCCAGGCCAGCCUGCUGGGCACAUGUGGCCCAACCGGCAGCCACGAGUGUGCAGUCAUCUGAGACCACUGGACAACUGCAGCCACAUGAAGUGUGAACAACAGAAGAACUCCCCAGCUGAGCCAAGCCCACAGAAUUGAGCAAAUAACAUGGCUUUUGUUUGAAACAGUAA